rnacentral:rRNA from 1 species
AUUGAACGCUGGCGGCAGGCCUAACACAUGCAAGUCGAACGAGUGGCGGAUGGGUGAGUAAUGUCUGGGAAACUGCCUGCUGGAGGGGGAUAACUACUGGAAACGGUAGCUAAUACCGCAUACCAUGACUUGUGCCCAGAUUGGUUUAGCUUGUUGGUGGGGUAACGGCUCACCAAGGCGAAGAUCCCUAGCUGGUCUGAGAGUAUGACCAGCCACACUGGAACUGAGACACGGUCCGGACUCCUACGGGAGGCAGCAGGGGGGAAUAUUGCACAAUGGGCGCAAGCCUGAUGCAGCCAUGCCGCGUGUAUGAAGAAGGCCGUCGGGUUGUAAAGUACUGUCAGCGGGGAGGCGUUACCCGCAGAAGAAGCACCGGCUAACUACGUACCAGCAGCCGCGGUAAUUC